AAGGAGUUAGCUCAAUUAAAGUGAUUGAUUUGCAUUCAGUUGAUGUAAGAUAAGAUCUUGCAGUCCUUA
rfam:Homo sapiens chromosome 12, GRCh38 reference primary assembly.